GCUGGGCGUGGUGGCGUGCACCUGUAAUUCCAGCUACUCAGGAGGCUGAGACAGGAGAAUCGCUUGAACUCAGGAGGUGGAGGUUGCAGUGAGCCAAGAUCAUGCCACUGCACUCCAGCCUGGGUGACAGAGCAAGAUUCUGUCUCAA
rnacentral:SRP_RNA from 1 species